rnacentral:rRNA from 1 species
CCUACGGGAGGCAGCAGUGGGGAAUAUUGCACAAUGGGGGAAACCCUGAUGCAGCGACGCCGCGUGAGUGAAGAAGUAUUUCGGUAUGUAAAGCUCUAUCAGCAGGGAAGAAAAUGACGGUACCUGACUAAGAAGCCCCGGCUAACUACGUGCCAGCAGCCGCGGUAAUACGUAGGGGGCAAGCGUUAUCCGGAUUUACUGGGUGUAAAGGGAGCGUAGGCGGCAGCACAAGUCUGGAGUGAAAUGCCGGGGCUUAACCCCGGAACUGCAUUGGAAACUGUGCAGCUAGAGUGCAGGAGAGGUAAGUGGAAUUCCUAGUGUAGCGGUGAAAUGCGUAGAUAUUAGGAGGAACACCAGUGGCGAAGGCGGCUUACUGGACGGUAACUGACGUUGAGGCUCGAAAGCGUGGGGAGCAAACAGGAUUAGAUACCCGGGUAGUC